GACGAACGCUGGCGGCGUGCUUAACACAUGCAAGUCGAACGGAAAGGCCCUGCUUUUGUGGGGUGCUCGAGUGGCGAACGGGUGAGUAACACGUGAGUAACCUGCCCUUGACUUUGGGAUAACUUCAGGAAACUGGGGCUAAUACCGGAUAGGAGCUCCUGCUGCAUGGUGGGGGUUGGAAAGUUUCGGCGGUUGGGGAUGGACUCGCGGCUUUUCAGCUUGUUGGUGGGGUAGUGGCUUACCAAGGCUUUGACGGGUAGCCGGCCUGAGAGGGUGACCGGCCACAUUGGGACUGAGAUACGGCCCAGACUCCUACGGGAGGCAGCAGUGGGGAAUAUUGCACAAUGGGCGGAAGCCUGAUGCGGCAACGCCGCGUGCGGGAUGACGGCCUUCGGGUUGUAAACCGCUUUCGCCUGUGACGAAGCGUGAGUGACGGUAAUGGGUAAAGAAGCACCGGCUAACUACGUG
rnacentral:rRNA from 1 species